AUGGCAUUAGUGUAAAUAGGUGGAUGAAUUAAAAUUGCUACAUAUAAUUACUUGUUUUGAAUUUAACUUUUUGAGUAAUUAUUAAUAAGAAAAAUGCAAAUAAGCCUUAUUUUUCUUUCUUAGAGACUAUUCCUCUAGGUCUUAUUUGUGAUUGUCCACCUCUGAUGUCCUGCAGAAAUGGACAAGGAAGUGCAUCAUGAAUUUCCCCACACAGGAUAUUGUGCAAUCCCACUCUCUUUUGCCUGUCAUUGUCUAAUCUAGACAAUCAGACAAAUAUUUCCAAAAGAAAGAUGAAAAGAAUUGAAUGGUGUGCACUUCUUUUGGGUUUUGUUUUCCUUAUUUGACAUACUGCUAAGAAUGUGUUUUUUCUUACUGAAGUGAUCUAAGUUCAGUUUUGCUUCACCAACAGGUUUCUUUUGGAAAGUUUCUGCCAAAGUCAGUGGCCUACAAAGCAUAGAAGAGAUCUUCAACAUCCAACUUGAAUAUCGCCCAGAAAAUACGGAGGAUGUGAAAGAUCGCUUGUAAAACUUCUAAUGCUCAGGCACGCUCUCUGAAAACAACGCUGUGAGUGAAAAGAAACAUUAUCAGAAGAAAAAUGGAAAGAAUACAGGGGGAUCAUUUUGAAAGAAAGCACCCUCUUGCAAGAUGAGGACAAUUUUCAACUCCAGGUUUUGGUCUCCUAUCAAGAAAAGGAUAUGGGGGUUUUAAUGAGACUGAUGAAACUACUCAGGAAGAUAAGAAAUCCCAACAAGUUUGAACACAGCUUGAUACACCUACGGUCAACCUUAUUUGGUUCCUAAAUUCUGUUUUUCUUCAUUUGGAUCUCUACCUUUUCAUCUGUCAUUGCUGCACAGACUUUAAAUUCAGUGUCAAAUCUCAAAUACAUUGCUGAUAAAAAAAAAAUCUUUAGUUAUAUACAUAGGUUUCUAACCUUAGUCAUAUCCAGGAUUUGUUUUCCCUUUUGUACAUGAUAGUAUUGAAAGGAGUGACUUACACAUAGGUUUAUACAAAGGACUUAGAAAUUCAGAAAAUUUCCCAAGGCUACUAAACCUGCUUAAACCCCCCAAGAAUUCCCUCUUACAUAUAACCUCCAUCUUCCUUUAAAUUUAACGAACAUAGUUUAAAUAUUCUUUGCAAGGCCCUUCUCUCACUUUUAGCCAUUAUAUUGGAACAACUUUUUUUUCCUUACACUUUUUCAAAAUUCUAAGUCACAGAAAAAUUUGUGGCUCGCCUAUUUGAAAAUUCUACCAAAUUUAUCAAGAUUAGAGCUAAAAUCAAUCCAAAGGCAAAACAAAAACAGCCAAAUGUAGAAAAUUAUCAAACUAUUUUUUUUCGUUUUUCUUUUUGAAGUCAGUCAUUCUAGU
rnacentral:lncRNA from 1 species